UACAAAAUGAUUGAGACGUAACAUAACUAUAAAAUGUUAUCGGGGUCAAAGUAAUUCCAGAAGGCAUUAGUGGAUUUUGAGAUGAUGAAAAUCAUUGACUCUUUAAAGUUCAUUUUUUGGAUAACUACAACGUCAGUAUUUUUGGAUAACUACAACGUCAGUAUUUUUGGAUAACUACAACAACAAAUCACAUUAAACGAAAGCAUGUCAGACGCCGUUAGGCAAGCAGCUUCGGUAAUAUUAGAUUGGGUUGAACUUUUCACCUUCACAUUAUACAUUGAAAACAUGUGUGUGAAGUCCUUUUGUUGAACUACCUCUGAUUUUUAAAAUCUUCUUGCAGUUUGGCACAACACUGUCUGGCUUUUUUCAUCCCGCAGAAAAUAUUUCCAAGCAGCUGAGUUACUUUUAAUUGUAAAAUUUACAAACGUCAUACUUAUUUAAUUUAUAAUUUUAAGAGUCUAACAUUAUUUUUUUCAGUUUGAAUGUUUAUUUUUUAGAAUU